UACUCUGUAGCUCAGUGGUUAGCGCAUCCGACCGGUAUACAGAAAGUCAUGGGUUCAAAUCCCAUCGGGGACUCAG